rnacentral:rRNA from 1 species
AUUGAACGCUGGCGGCAUGCCUUACACAUGCAAGUCGAACGGUAACAGGUCUUCGGAUGCUGACGAGUGGCGAACGGGUGAGUAAUACAUCGGAACGUGCCUAGUAGUGGGGGAUAACUACUCGAAAGAGUGGCUGAUACCGCAUGAGAUCUACGGAUGAAAGCAGGGGAUCGCAAGACCUUGUGCUACUAGAGCGGCCGAUGGCAGAUUAGGUAGUUGGUGGGAUAAAAGCUACCAAGCCGACGAUCUGUAGCUGGUCUGAGAGGACGAUCAGCCACACUGGGACUGAGAAACGGCCCAGACUCCUACGGGAGGCAGCAGUGGGGAAUUUUGGACAAUGGGCGCAAGCCUGAUUCAGCAAUGCCGCGUGCAGGAUGAAGGCCUUCGGGUUGUAAACUGCUUUUGUACGGAACGAAAAGCCCCGGGUUAAUACCCUGGGGUCAUGACGGUACCGUAAGAAUAAGCACCGGCUAACUCCAUGCCAGCCGCCGCAGUAA